AUUGAACGCUGGCGGCAGGCCUAACACAUGCAAGUCGAGCGGCAGCGGAAGGAAGCUUGCUUCCUUGCCGGCGAGCGGCGGACGGGUGAGUAAGGUAUGGGGAUCUGGCCGAAGGCGGGGGAUAACCACUGGAAACGGUGGCUAAUACCGCAUAAUCUCUAAGGAGCAAAGUGGGGGACCGUUCAGGCCUCACACCUUCGGAUGAACCCAUAUGAGAUUAGCUAGUAGGUGGGGUAAUGGCUCACCUAGGCGACGAUCUCUAGCUGGUCUGAGAGGAGGAUCAGCCACACUGGGACUGAGACACGGCCCAGACUCCUACGGGAGGCGGCAGUGGGGAAUAUUGCACAAUGGGCGCAAGCCUGAUGCAGCCAUGCCGCGUGUAUGAAGAAGGCCUUCGGGUUGUAAAGUACUUUCAGUCGUGAGGAAGGUGUUAAGGUUAAUAACCUUAGCAAUUGACGUUAGCGACAGAAGAAGCACCGGCUAACUCCGUGCCAGCCGCCGCGGUAA
rnacentral:rRNA from 1 species